rnacentral:rRNA from 1 species
AUUGAACGCUGGCGGCAUGCUUUACGCAUGCAAGUCGAACGGUAACAGGCCGCAAGGUGCUGACGAGUGGCGAACGGGUGAGUAAUGCAUCGGAACGUGCCCAGUCGUGGGGGAUAACUACUCGAAAGAGUAGCUAAUACCGCAUACGAUCUAUGGCUGAAAGCGGGGGACCGUAAGGCCUCGCGCGAUUGGAGCGGCCGAUGUCAGAUUAGGUAGUUGGUGGGGUAAAGGCUCACCAAGCCAACGAUCUGUAGCUGGUCUGAGAGGACGACCAGCCACACUGGGACUGAGACACGGCCCAGACUCCUACGGGAGGCAGCAGUGGGGAAUUUUGGACAAUGGGCGCAAGCCUGAUCCAGCAAUGCCGCGUGCAGGAAGAAGGCCUUCGGGUUGUAAACUGCUUUUGUACGGAACGAAACGGCUCUGGUUAAUACCCGGGGCUAAUGACGGUACCGUAAGAAUAAGCACCGGCUAACUACGUG